AUGUACACGCCUACAAUGUUAAAGCACAGGAUCCCAUCAGAAAUUUGAAGUUAAUCGUGCUUAGGCUAGAGUAGUACUGAGAUGGGUGACCUCCAGGCAAGUCCUAGUUUUUUACAUG
rfam:Picea glauca, whole genome shotgun sequence.